AUUCUGUUUUUAUGGCACUAUUUUUGGUAGGUUGGUCUGUUUUUUCCCUUUGUGUAAAGACAGAUGCAAGUUUAGUAAGCUCAGGAAGAGUUUCAAGUGCCUUUGAUGAAAUAAUGCCGUCUAUUGGGACUUAGGAGACCUUCUUCUGUGUUGCAUACCUGCCCUCUGAAAAGGUUUCCCCUUAGAGACCCAUUUAGUUCCCACCCUGAUAAUGUUCUGCUGGUUUUCAGAAACCUGACUAUAAUGAAGAAGAGGAUGAUAUAAAGCAAAGAUCAUCAGCACAUUUGUAAAUGUAAAAUUAACAGUGCUGUCUACAUGUUGGCUUUUAAUUUACGGUGUCAAAUCAAGUAUUUGAAACCUGACAACUUUACUGAAACGAAUACUAAAUAUAGAUGGCAACAACACUCUGCUUCAGGGCUGAGCUUGUGGCUCUCAUUAACACAUUCAAGUGGAUUUGGAGAAGACAAAGGAACAACAUUGCUGAUAUAUGCAUAUUUCCAGCAUUUUAUUGUGAAAGAAAAUAUAUUAGUUGGGGAUGGUUUAGAUGUAUCAUGGAGAGUUCUUCUGAAAGUAUCUUUAAAAAUUCAUACGAAGAAGGGAAACUUUAUGCUCUUGAUUCAUUGAACAACUUAAAUGAACAUGUUUCUGCAGCUCAAACUCAGCCCCCAAUACACACUGGAGAGAAGAUGGAUGAAGUUUUAAGAAAAAUAAUACUACAAAGGAGGAGUAUUGAUGAUCUCAAGAAAUUAAAUGACAUGAUAUUUCAAUACUUUAACCAG